UGAGUUUGAUCAUGGCUCAAAUUGAACGCUGGCGGCAGGCUUAACACAUGCAAGUCGAGCGGGGGAAGGUAGCUUGCUACCGGACCUAGCGGCGGACGGGUGAGUAAUGCUUAGGAAUCUGCCUAUUAGUGGGGGACAACAUCUCGAAAGGGAUGCUAAUACCGCAUACGUCCUACGGGAGAAAGCAGGGGAUCUUCGGACCUUGCGCUAAUAGAUGAGCCUAAGUCGGAUUAGCUAGUUGGUGGGGUAAAGGCCUACCAAGGCGACGAUCUGUAGCGGGUCUGAGAGGAUGAUCCGCCACACUGGGACUGAGACACGGCCCAGACUCCUACGGGAGGCAGCAGUGGGGAAUAUUGGACAAUGGGGGGAACCCUGAUCCAGCCAUGCCGCGUGUGUGAAGAAGGCCUUAUGGUUGUAAACGACUUUAAGCGAGGAGGAGGCUACU
rnacentral:rRNA from 1 species